ACUCCUACGGGAGGCAGCAGUAGGGAAUCUUCGGCAAUGGGCGGCACCCUGACCGAGCAACGCCGCGUGAGUGAAGAAGGUUUUCGGAUCGUAAAGCUCUGUUGUAAGUCAAGAACGAGUGUGAGAGUGGAAAGUUCACACUGUGACGGUACCUUACCAGAAAUGGACGGCUAACUACGUGCCAGCAGCCGCGGUAAUAC
rnacentral:rRNA from 1 species